UACGUAGGGGGCGAGCGUUGUCCGGAAUGAUUGGGCGUAAAGGGCGCGUAGGCGGCCUGCUAAGUCUGGAGUGAAAGUCCUGCUUUCAAGGUGGGAAUUGCUUUGGAUACUGGUGGGCUGGAGUGCAGGAGAGGAAAGCGGAAUUACCGGUGUAGCGGUGAAAUGCGUAGAGAUCGGUAGGAACACCAGUGGCGAAGGCGGCUUUCUGGACUGAAACUGACGCUGAGGCGCGAAAGCGUGGGGAGCAAACAGG
rnacentral:rRNA from 1 species